rnacentral:lncRNA from 1 species
GAUGACUUGUCUAGAUCUUAGGCAACAAUUCUCUUAGCACAUCAGCUCCUGGAAACAAAUGCACUUAACCAGAAAAACAGGGACAUCAACCAGCAAAGAUGCAUCCUCAUUUAAUAGAGCUUGAAAUUACUAUAAUCUGUAAAGUACAGCGAGAAGAAGAAGUUUCACCUGCCUGCACAUCUGUCGUUGACUCUCCAUCUGACUUGGAGGGACUCUGAGGGACCAACCUGAGCCUGAGAAGAGGCAAGAUUCCCCUUCAAGGACACACUGGGAACUUACGGACCUCUUUCUCCAUGGUGCAGAGCGCAGAGGUGAACAAACAGACGCAUAAUAGCUCUUGAGCUUGCCAUUGGGAAGUGAAAAUCAACUGCUUGAAUAAAUGUAAGGACUCAGGUAGACAUCACCUUGUGACUCAACAGCAGCCAAUAAGAUGGAAAUAAAGGCCAUGAAGUUAUCGGAUGGCAUCUACAAGGAAUACUUAGAUGAGGAGGUGACUCUGGUAGCAAUUGUUCUUUUGUCUUUCUCACCUUCCUUCUUGUCCUGUCUGGGAUGCUGAAGUGAUGGCUGGUAUACAGAUGCCCUGUUGUGAUGUUGAGAUAAACAUGAGAAUAAAAGUCGGCGAUUACAGAUGGCAGAGAAGAGAGAGAAAGAUAGGAUGUAGGUGGAUAUUGACGGAACUAAGUUUCUAUUGCACAAGUUCUACCACCAACCUCUGGACUUCAUGAUAUGUGAGGGAGAAAUAAACUCCUAUUUUAGAAGAGAUCUAUGUUACCUGCAACUGAACGGAAUGCUUAAUUGGCACAUCCUAUGUGCUCCAAACCUUCCUUAAUUUCUGUGUGUAAGGCAUACUUAGUCUUUACCCAUUAUUCUGUUCACAUUCAUUCACUUGAUCAGCCUCCCAACUCUAUGGUAAAGAGUUUACUACAGUUUACUCUAUUAGUAAGGGAGAUUCUGGAGCAAGCCCCACAAAUCAUAGAUUGAAUACCCAUUCAUUAAGAGAGAGAUUUAAAGAUACUUCUAUCCAAACACAUUUUAAAUUUCCAGCACCUUUGAGGUGGUGGAGGUUCAUGGUGGUUGAUAGGGUUUAAAUGACUUGUGAUUCAAGCUCCAUAUUACAAUGUAACAGUGCAAAAGUUCAUUUUUUUAAAUUUAUUUUACUUUAAGUUCUGGUAUACAUGUGUAGAACAUGCGGGUUUGUUACAUAGGUAUACAUGUGCCAUGGUGGUUUGCUGCACCUAUCAAACCGUCACCUAGGUUUUAAGAACCACAUGCAUUAGGUAUUUGACCUAAUGCUCUCCCUCAUGUUGCCCCCCAACUCCCUGACAGGGCCCAGUGUGUGAUGUUCCCCUCCCUGUGUCCAUGUGUUCUCAUUGUUCAACUCCCACUUAUGAGUGAGAACAUGUGGUGUUUGAUUUUCUGUUCCUGUGUUAGUUUGCUGAGAAUGAUGGCUUCCAGCUUCAUCCAUGUCCCUGCAAAGGACACGAACUCAUUCUUUUUUAUGGCUUCAUAAUAUUCCAUGAGUCUGGAUUUGGUUACAGAUAGAGCUGGACAAGCCUUAGCUAUAUCUAAUGGCUUUUGACAUGUUAUAUCAAUUUCUUACUGCUUUUGUAAAUGAAUAUAUUAAGAAGAAAAAAUUACAAAUGACCCUUUCUUCACAAACUUUUAGGGUAAUCAAGUUCAGUUAUUAAAAAAUGGAUGUUUGCAACAUUCAUAGUAAUUAUUUUCAGAAAAUUAAAAAUGAUUAAAAAUUAUAUUUUCAUCCCAUUCAGAUAUUAUAUAUUUAACUGUGAGAUAAUUCUCAGAGAUAAAUGUCAACUUUUAAAAAAUGCUAAAUAAAUUAAAUCAAAAUAUCCCCUCUAAAAUAAAUAAAUUAGCUCCGAUUAUUUCUUCUUUUUAAAUUUUUCCUUAUAGUUGUAAAAAUAAAGUGAAC